AGUCUACCCUGCUGUGCGUGGGUGAAGGGUUUACUGAAAGGGGAAGACCCACCUUGGGAGUGGGUGGCACCAGGGAAUAAGCUUGUAGCCUGACUGGAAUGCAAAGAGGAAGAAGGAAGCCUCCUGCCCGCCUUGCCAUGGAGUGUUUCCCCUCUGCCAUGCCCCCUGCCUUGGAACCAGCAAACUACCAACUGAAAGAAGCCUCUACAAAUCGAAAUCUGUGCAUCCCUUUAAUUAGGAGCAGAUAAGGGAAGUAUCCUUGUCCUGUACUGCGGCUUCUUCUGCCAAACCAGUCUGGGCUACCUACUGCGUCUCCUGAGUUUUAUCAUAUUCACAGUGCCAUGGGAAGCUGAAACAGAACAGUACUCCUUGCCACAAGGCUUGAACAAGAACAGCACCGGCCCCCACUUCACAGCACACCACCCUCCUGUGAGAGCCAGUAGAUCCCGCCAGCCCAUCUCUCCCACCUCAGCUUCUUCCCCUCCCCAGCCGUUGGAAGCAUGACCUUGAAAAUUAUGAGCUAACAAGGGCAAAACACCGCUUUUGUCCAUGACCUGUCAAGGAGGAGGAUCCCCCCAGAAUGCUGGAUGGAUGAACACACAGAAGUGUUUAAAAUGCUGGCCACAGUGGCACACCAGUAAUUCCCAGCUACUUGGGAGACUGAGGAGGGAGGAUCAUGUAAGCUUAUGAGUUCGAGACCAGACUGGGCAACACGCUGGAGACCUCAUUUCAAAAAUAAAUAGAUAAAUAAAUAGUGUCUGAGCCUAUCAGGUAAGGUCAAGUUUAUAUAAAAAAGUAUUUAGACUCUAUUAGUUUUUAAUGUGAAAAAUGACAUAAGGUGUUAGUUGUUAGUCCUUUGGGAUUAAGGUGUAUAUGUAAGGAAGUGAAAUAAUUUUCUUUUCUGAAAAGUAGGAA